rnacentral:rRNA from 1 species
GAUGAACGCUGGCGGCAGGCCUAACACAUGCAAGUCGAACGAGUGGCGGACGGGUGAGUAAUGUCUGGGACACUUCCUGAUGGAUGGGGAUCACUACUGGACACGGUAGCUAAUACCGCAUACCAUCGGAUGUGCCCUGAUGGGAUUAGCUAGUAGGUGGGGUAACGGCUCCCCUAGGCGACGAUCCCUAGCUGGUCUGAGAGGAUGACCAGCCAGACUGGAACUGAGACACGGUCCAGACUCCGACGGGAGGCAGCAGUGGGGAAUAUUGCACAAUGGGCGCAAGCCUGAUGCAGCCAUGCCGCGUGUAUGAAGAAGGCCUUCGGGUUGUAAAGUACUUUCAGCGGGGAGGCGUUACCCGCAGAAGAAGCACCGGCUAACUCCGUGCCAGCAGCCGCGGUAAUAC